rnacentral:rRNA from 1 species
AACGAACGCUGGCGGCGUGCCUAACACAUGCAAGUCGAACGAGAAAGGUCGCAAGACUGAGUACAGUGGCGCAACGGGUGAGUAAUACAUAGGAAUCUUCCCUUUAGUGAAGAAUACCCCUGGAGAAAUCCAGGCUAAUACUGCAUAAGCCCAGAAAUGGGGAAAGGUGGCCUCAAGCUAACCGCUGAAGGAUGAGCCUGUGUCCUAUUAGUUAGUUGGCAGGGGUAAUGGCCUACCAAGACAAAGAUGGGUAUCCGGCCUGAGAGGGUGUACGGACACACUGGAACUGAAACACGGUCCAGACUCCUACGGGAGGCAGCAGUGGGGAUAUUGCACAAUGGGCGCAAGCCUGAUGCAGCGACGCCGCGUGGAGGAUGACGGUCUUCGGAUUGUAAACUCCUGUUAA